CCGAUGGCGACCGGCGCACGGGUGAGUAACACGUAUCCAACCUGCCGAUAACUCGGGGAUAGCCUUUCAAAAGAAAGAUUAAUAUCCGAUAGGAUAUCAAGGUCGCAUGAUCUUGAUAUUAAAGAAUUUCGGUUAUCGAUGGGGAUGCGUUCCAUUAGUUAGUUGGCGGGGUAACGGCCCACCAAGACGACGAUGGAUAGGGGUUCUGAGAGGAAGGUCCCCCACAUUGGAACUGAGACACGGUCCAAACUCCUACGGAAGGCAGCAG
rnacentral:rRNA from 1 species